GGAAUUAGCUCAGUUGGUAGAGCGUCGGCUUCCCAAGCCGAAUGUCACGGGUUCGAGUCCCGCAUUCC
rnacentral:tRNA from 1 species